AAUGAACGUUGGCGGCGUGGAUUAGGCAUGCAAGUCGCGCGACAAGGAACCUUCGGGUUCUGGAGGAGCGGCAAACGGGGUAGUAAGGCAUCGGAACGUACCCUCUUGUUGGGAAUAGCCGCGGGAAACUGCGAGUAAUGCCCAAUAAUCCCUACGGGGCAAAGGUCCGCCGCAGGAGGAGCGGCCGAUGUGAUACCAGCUAGUUGGUGAGGUAAUGGCUCACCAAGGCUUAGACGUCUAGGGGGUGUGAGAGCAUGGCCCCCACCACUGGACGUGAGAUACUGCCCACGACACCUACGGGUGGGCGUGCAGUCGAG
rnacentral:rRNA from 1 species